rnacentral:rRNA from 1 species
AUUGAACGCUGGCGGCAGGCCUAACACAUGCAAGUCGAACGGUAACAGGAAGCAGCUUGCUGCUUUGCUGACGAGUGGCGGACGGGUGAGUAAUGUCUGGGAAACUGCCUGAUGGAGGGGGAUAACUACUGGAAACGGUAGCUAAUACCGCAUAACGUCGCAAGACCAAAGAGGGCGACCUUCGGGCCUCUUGCCAUCGGAUGUGCCCAGAUGGGAUUAGCUAGUAGGUGGGGUAACGGCUCACCUAGGCGACGAUCCCUAGCUGGUCUGAGAGGAUGACCAGCCACACUGGAACUGAGACACGGUCCAGACUCCUACGGGAGGCAGCAGUGGGGAAUAUUGCACAAUGGGCGCAAGCCUGAUGUAGCCAUGCCGCGUGUAUGAAGAAGGCCUUCGGGUUGUAAAGUACUUUCAGCGGGGAGGAAGGGAGUAAAGUUAAUACCUUUGCUCAUUGACGUUACCCGCAGAAGAAGCACCGGCUAACUCCGUG